GGUGGUAGGUCCACCGAAGUCGGCUGUCAGAAGCAGGCUUCAAACCGGCUCAAGCUGCUGAUGUUAAGAGCAUUGGUGGUGAGCGUUGAGUGAAAAGGUAACGCAAGACGUUAUCAGG
rnacentral:ncRNA from 1 species